rnacentral:rRNA from 1 species
AACGAACGCUGGCGGCAUGCCUAACACAUGCAAGUCGAACGAGACCUUCGGGUCUAGUGGCGCACGGGUGCGUAACGCGUGGGAACCUGCAUUUAGGUUCGGAAUAACUCAGAGAAAUUUGAGCUAAUACCGGAUGAUGUCUUCGGACCAAAGAUUUAUCGCCUUUAGAUGGGCGCGCGUUGGAUUAGCUGGUUGGUGGGGUAAAGGCCUACCAAGGCGACGAUCCAUAGCUGGUCUGAGAGGAUGAUCAGCCACGCUGGGACUGAGACACGGCCCAGAAUCCUACGGGAGGCAGCAGUGGGGAAUAUUGGACAAUGGGGGAAGGCCUGAUCCAGCAAUGCCGGGUGAGUGAUGAAGGCCUUAGGGUUGUAAAGCUCUUUUACCCGAGAUGAUAAUGACGGUAUCGGGAGAAUAAGCUCCGGCUAACUCCGUG